GAUCUGGCCAUAUUGGCUGCCUGGUCACUGGGACUGCUUUCAACUCUGGCAAAGUGGACAUUGUUGCCAUCAAUGACCCUUCAUUGACCUCAUCUACAUGGUUUACAUGUUCCAGUAUGAUUCCACCCAUGGCAAGUUCAAUGGCACGGUCAAGGCGGAGAAGGGGAAGCUUGUCAUCAAGGGGAAGUCCAUCUCCAUCUUCCAGGAGCGAGAUGCCGCCAACAUCAAGUGGGGUGAUGCUGGUGCCGAAUAUGUUGUGGAGUCCACUGGAGUCUUCACUACCCUGGAGAAAGCCAGGGCUCACCUGAAGGGUGGGGCCAAGAGGGUCAUCAUCUCUGUCCCUUCUGCUGAUGCCCCCAUGUGUGUGAUGGGGGUGAACCACGACAAGUAUGACAACUCCCUCAAGAUUGUGAGCAACACCUCCUGCACCACUAACUGCUUGGCCCCCCUCACUAAGGUCAUCCACAACCUCAGCAUCGUGGAGGGGCUCAUGACCAUGGUCUACGCCAUCACUGCCACCCAGAAGACCAUGGCAUGAUGGCCGAGGGGCUGCCCAGAACUUCAUUCCGCUUCUACUGGCAACGCCAAGGCUGUGGGCAAGGUUAUCCCUGAGCUGAGUGGGAACCUGAUCGGCAUGGCCUUCUGCGUCCCCACGCCCAAUGUGUCAGUUGUGGAUCUGACCUGCCACCUGGAGAAAGCUACCCAGUAUGACAACAUCAAGAAAGUGGUGAAGCAUGCCUCACAGGGCCGCCUCAAGGGCAUCCUGGACUACACCGAGGAUCAGGUUGUGUCCUGCGAUUUUAACUGUGACACCCAUUCCUCUUCCUUCGAUACUGGGGCCAAUUGCCCUCAAUGACCACUUUGUCAAGCUUAUUUCCUGGUAUGACAAUGAAUUUGGCUGUAGCAACAGGGUGGCGGGCCUCAUGGUACACAUGGCCUCCAAGGAGUAA